CAGGCUGUUCUCAUGGCGUAAGACGCGGUGUCUGUGUGGUCAAUGUUCCCUACACGUCUGACUGAGGACAGCUGCACUGCCUUCACCUCUCAGCUCCAACACUGGCAAACCUUCCCUGACUUCCCCAGGCAGAUGAUUUGUUCUUUCUCUUUUGAGUCCUCUGCAGUUUCAAAUACUGCCAUUUUUAUAAUUGCCUUGUUUUAUUUUAUCACGUCUCUCAGUCUGUGUCUCCCACUGGGCUGUGAACUCUACGGCAGAAGAACGACUCCUCAUUUGUUUGCUGGCUACCUGGAACCUCAGACAGGCCUGGCACUCAGAGUGCUCAAGAAAUAUUUUUGGGGGCCGACCCAGUGGUGCAGCAGUUAAGUGCUCACAUUCUGCUUCCCAGUGGCCCAGGGUUCACGGGUUCAGGUCCCGGGUGCGGACACGGCACCGCUUGGCACACCAUGCUGAGAUAACACUUAAUUUGUUCAAGUCACACAGUAAAGGCUGAAGUUGCAAACUGAACUCCGGUCUGACUCCAAAACUCAUCUCGUUCAUCACGAGCUACAUUGCCUCUGGUUCCAGGCACGGGGCAAGCAGUAUUUGGGAUGCUGUAUCCUUUGUUAUAGGGCUGAGUGGCUUGGCAAGGACUCAGACUGAGAACUGGCUCCUACUUUAGACUGGCGCAGGCACUGAAGAGAUGAAGAAGCCAUCUGUGGCAGGGAAAUCUGGGAGCGGUGACAGCCAUGGUAACCAUCUGGCCUGCUGGACUGCUUCUUGAGUGCAGGACCAUGUCUGAUUCAAGUCUACAUCCAGAGCACAUAGAGCAAGUUCUGGGACAUAAAAUAAAAAAGAGUCGCUCAAGAGAGAAUCCAUCCAUCCAUCAGUUGAAUGCCUUCACAGUCCGUCAAAGAACUCUUGCUGACUGAUCAUGCUAUUGCUCUCUCUGCCAAUGGAAUUGCAACUGCUUCCUAGUCCCCUAAUCACCGUCUAUUCCUUAACCACCCCCUAUAGGACAGGACCACUAUUCUGGGAGGUCUUUCAGACUUAUCUAGAACGUGGCAUGUUUCCUGACAUCCAUACCAACAUUUAGGUCUGGGCUCUGCUUCUAACUCAUUGUCUGUGAUGGCACGUCUUUAGGUCUUGUAGCGCCGUUUUUAAAAAGGAACAGUUUUGCAAUAUGAUUUCUGAAGUCUCUUCUAACCCGAGUGUGCUAGAAUUUUCUGUCUGGAAUCUAGAAUUUCUGGUAAAGAUGAGACAGACUUAUUCGAGGCCUUCAUAUCGGCAUCAUAUGGCCUGUUGGUUGGAGCCUGGAUGAUGAGCCACUGUAGUCUGGGCUUUUCCUGAGGUCUGCCUUGCUGGUGGCAGAGUUUCUUUAACAGUCGUGCUCCAGCAGGCUCUGGCCACCCCCACGGGCAACUCAGUGAAUACUGGCUGCCUGAUGGAUGUGUUAGAUGGGAAGCCAACUGGAUGAAGGAUGCGUGAGGAGCCCUGGAAAACACAGUGGUUCAAAGGGGAGGGCUGCGCCGAGCAGGUUCCCAAAUGUGCUUACCCGCCCAGGCUCUGAACGCGAGCUCCGUUGGAAAAACACGUGUUUCUGACUCCAAGGGAAAGGCUCUAGGAAUAAUAAUAAUAAAAGGGGCUUUGAAAGCUUCUUGGAAAUCAGCUUCUAUAAAAUAGUGUUUUGAGAAAUUGAGCGCAAGUCAAGCAGAAACAUGGAUUGAAAUUCUCCCUUCGCAUACUCAUUCUUUUAAAAUAUUUUAUUUUUAAAUAUGAAAAUAAUCUGUGCAUAUGGCUAAAGAAUCCAAACAGUAAAGAAAAGCACAGAAUUCAAAGCAAAAAUCUCCCUUCCUUCCUCUCUUUUCAUGUCUCAUGAGGUAACAGUUUAUUUCUGUUUUGUGUGCGAUUACUAUGUGAGUUUAUAAAAAUUAAAAAAAAUUAUUGUGGUAAAAUAUGCAUAACAUAAAAUUUACCAUUUUAACCAUUUUUGAGUGUAUAUAGUUCAUUGGCAUUAAGUACAUUCACAUUGUUGUGCAACC
rnacentral:lncRNA from 1 species